rnacentral:rRNA from 1 species
AGUGAACGCUGGCGGUAGGCCUAACACAUGCAAGUCGAACGGCAGCACAGUAAGAGCUUGCUCUUACGGGUGGCGAGUGGCGGACGGGUGAGGAAUACAUCGGAAUCUACUUUUUCGUGGGGGAUAACGUAGGGAAACUUACGCUAAUACCGCAUACGACCUACGGGUGAAAGCAGGGGAUCUUCGGACCUUGCGCGAUUGAAUGAGCCGAUGUCGGAUUAGCUAGUUGGCGGGGUAAAGGCCCACCAAGGCGACGAUCCGUAGCUGGUCUGAGAGGAUGAUCAGCCACACUGGAACUGAGACACGGUCCAGACUCCUACGGGAGGCAGCAGUGGGGAAUAUUGGACAAUGGCCGCAAGCCUGAUCCAGCCAUACCGCGUGGGUGAAGAAGGCCUUCGGGUUGUAAAGCCCUUUUGUUGGGAAAGAAAAGCAGCAGGUUAAUACCCCGCUGUUCUGACGGUACCCAAAGAAUAGGCACCGGCUAACUUCGUG